rnacentral:rRNA from 1 species
UACAGAGGGUGCGAGCGUUAAUCGGAGUUACUGGGCGUAAAGGGCGCGUAGGCGGUUAUUUAAGUUAGAUGUGAAAUCCCUGGGCUUAACCUAGGAACUGCAUCUAAUACUGGAUAGCUGGAGUAUUGUAGAGGGUAGUGGAAUUUCCGGUGUAGCGGUGAAAUGCGUAGAGAUCGGAAGGAACACCAGUGGCGAAGGCGGCUACCUGGACAAAUACUGACGCUGAGGCGCGAGAGCGUGGGGAGCAAAC